AGUGAACGCUGGCGGUAGGCCUAACACAUGCAAGUCGAACGGCAGCACAGUAAGAGCUUGCUCUUUCGGGUGGCGAGUGGCGGACGGGUGAGGAAUACAUCGGAAUCUACUUUUUCGUGGGGGAUAACGUAGGGAAACUUACGCUAAUACCGCAUACGACCUACGGGUGAAAGCAGGGGAUCUUCGGACCUUGCGCGAUUGAAUGAGCCGAUGUCGGAUUAGCUAGUUGGCGGGGUAAAGGCCCACCAAGGCGACGAUCCGUAGCUGGUCUGAGAGGAUGAUCAGCCACACUGGAACUGUGACACGGUCCAGACUCCUACGGGAGGCAGCAGUGGGGAAUAUUGGACAAUGGGCGCAAGCCUGAUCCAGCCAUACCGCGUGGGUGAAGAAGGCCUUCGGGUUGUAAAGCCCUUUUGUUGGGAAAGAAAAGCAGCAGGUUAAUACCCCGCUGUUCUGACGGUACCCAAAGAAUAAGCACCGGCUAACUUCGUG
rnacentral:rRNA from 1 species